UACGAAGGGGGCUAGCGUUGCUCGGAAUUACUGGGCGUAAAGCGCACGUAGGCGGCUUGUUAAGUCAGGGGUGAAAUCCUGGAGCUCAACUCCAGAACUGCCUUUGAUACUGGCGAGCUCGAGUCCGGGAGAGGUGAGUGGAACUGCGAGUGUAGAGGUGAAAUUCGUAGAUAUUCGCAAGAACACCAGUGGCGAAGGCGGCUCACUGGCCCGGUACUGACGCUGAGGUGCGAAAGCGUGGGGAGCAAACAGGG
rnacentral:rRNA from 1 species